rnacentral:sRNA from 1 species
UUUAGUAGGGAUCGCCAUCCGUCAGCGCGUUGCGCCCACGGGUGUCGUUGUG